rnacentral:lncRNA from 1 species
GAAGUAUAAGCUUAUCUUUAUUAAAGCUCAGAACUUUAUCUAUUGACUAACUUGUUUUUGUUAAUUUAUAUAUUUUGGCACUUUGUAAUGUCAUUUUUUAGGUCCUGUUUUUGGUGGAGGAUCCAAUAGACGAGGUUGCCAUUCAAAACCUUAAAUCAUACAUGGAACUGAAUUUUGUUGACAUUGGCAAGGAAGACUUGGUUCUAGGUGUGCUUCUUUCUUUUUUGUGCUUACUUCUGAUGAUUUGUUUUGGAUUUAUUUAUGCUAAUACUAGACACACAUUUGUGUCUUUAUCAAGGGUAUUAGCAUUUCAUUGCUCAAAUAUUUGUAGUCUCUCUUUUGAGUUUUGGCAGUUAUGAAAUUCAUGGUUUGGUUCUUCUUUACUCUUCAAACUUGUUUAAUCUAGUUUUUUGUUUCUGAAGGCGAUAAAAAUGAAGAAACUAGAAAGGGAGAAGGAAGUGUUGAAGCUCUAGAAGCUGAGGUAGUUGUGAACCCACUGACGCUGGUGGUCAGAAGUGAAAAGACUGUCUAGAGAUUUUUCGUUUUCUGAUCCUUAAUUCUAUGUUGCUUAGCGGAAUUACAUUUGAUAUUGGUGGUAUAUAAUUCUAUAUAUAACCUGAUGGACAUUUAGUAUAUUGCUACAUCUUCAUUUUUCUUGUUAAAGUUUAAUGCCAUGCCUUAAAGCUGUUUAAUUCAUCCAUUUAGUGUAACAUGUGCUGAAAUCUUACUUUUUCGUUUGUGUGUUAAGAUGUCUGCUAAUGAGAAAUCAACUGGGACGUAGUUAAAACAUUGUUUUUACCAAUACAUAAUAUAUUUUGCAACGUUGUAGAACUACAUUAUAAUGUUCAAAAUACAUUAUAAAGUGAAUAAUGAUUUUAAUAAAGUGGUCAAUUUGCAAUUUUAUACAUUGAUUUUCUUUUUUUCAUAGAAAGGCAAUUCGACCUCAGUUUGUCAUGGCAACUCUACUUCCACUCAAACUAAUUCACUGUGUUAAAAGCUGCCGCGAAGAGUAAACACAUAUUGAUAUAGGCACAAAUUUUUAAGAUCGUUAAGUACAAAAACUUCCCAACAAGUCUUGAUUUUCAUUGGAGAUUGGAACCAUCCUCAAAAGACAACGUUUAAAGAAUCAAUUAAUCUCGAAAAACUCAUGGACCCAGUAAGGUUAAACAAGAUCCCAAACACAAAAUUAAAUCCAACAUAAAUCUUCUAGCUCAAAAACUCCACCAAUAUGCACGCAUGCCUUAACCUAGAACCAAAAUCUUAAUACGAGCAUCAUCCAACUAUUGAGAAAAAACUUCUUUUUUAGUAUGAAACACGAUGAUAAGUUCAACCAAAUGGGAUCUUCUCAAGCCAUAACAAAAUCCACUAAAAUCAAAGUCUCUUUCGGUAGUGUAAUCUUGCAUGAUCAACAUCAUAACAUCAAAAAAAAAAUAUAAAAAUCACCAAGAAACAGAAAAUAAUAGUAGAAUUUUGGGCUUGUUUUUUGUUACAGUUUUUGAAUUGUUUCUAAAAAUUAAAACAAUUUAAAACCUAUUUGUCACACCAUUUUUUCAAAAACUGUUUUUAAAACUAAAAUAUCAAAAUAACUUUUAAUUUUGAACAUGAAUAAUGUGUUUAUAUUGAAAAUUGCUGCUUAAGUAAUAAGUAAGUUUAUAUAACAAUAAAAUAAAAUAUUAAGAAAAGUUUGGUCCUCAUAAUAAUAUAAUAGGGUAAAACGUUGAUGGAAACGAAACUAGGAGAAUCCAGAAGGUUCUGAAACACGAUCAAACCCUGCUUAAACCCUACCAUUCCUUCCUUCACCAACGCAGUUUUCUGAAGAAUCUCACAAUCACACUUCCAAGUAUGCACCGCCUUUCACAGCGUUCAUCCUCCCUCUCUAACCUACUCCGUCACGGUGGCUUUCUUCGCCGCCGGGCCACACUUUCGGCUGCCUCGUCGUCGGUGGGUGAGAAUGAGAAUGACACCAAAUCCAGAUGUUAUUCUUCUUCUUCUUCUUCUUCUUCUCUAUUAACCUCUGACAAAUCCACUGCUCAUCCCAAUUGGAAACGGGACAGCAUUUUUCUGGGCAAACGAUAUGAAUCCACUGCUGCUGAAUCUUCAUCUUCUGGGGAUUCCCCGUCUGCUCAAAGAUUUGAGUACCAAGCAGAGGUAUGUAUGUAUAUAUGGUUAUUUCUCAACCUGCACUGCAUGCCAUGAUGAUAUGUGUACUGACCAUGAUUUUGUGUAAUAUGCAUAGGUUAGCCGUCUCAUGGACCUCAUUGUUAACAGUCUAUACAGUAACAAGGAGGUGUUUCUCAGGGAACUUAUCAGGUAUUAUACUGUUGCAAAUGUUUCAUUAGUGGUUGCUUAUCUUGUCCUGAUUGUUAAUGGCGGAUAGCCUAGUGUAGCGGCAAGCCCAAAAAACGCUAUUGAGCGGUGAAUAGUGGAGUAGUGGUGAACCCCAGGGCGGGCUAUUAACAAGCCUGCCUGAAACCUUUUUAGAAUUAUGUUGUUGGAUAAAGCAUAGAGUUAAGAGUGCUAUGUGUCAGUUGAAGGAUUUGAAGCUACACAGUUUCAAUGCCAUUGUUAUGGAAUUUAUUUAACUACAUUCAAACUUAUAGCUUAAAUUGCCUGUUAAAGACACUUUGAUCUUGAUAAAAUUAUUAAUUUUUCUAAUGAGGCUAUUUCGAGAAAUAGACUACCUAUAUCUCUGGUUUUGAUUGGAUGUUAUAUAUAUGCAUUGUUGUUCAAACUGGCUAUUUAUGCUUUUCUUUUCUCGUUACAGUAAUGCAAGCGAUGCGUUGGACAAACUGCGGUUUUUGAGCGUUACAGAGCCUGAGCUGAUGAAGGAUGCGGUUGAAUUUGAUAUCCGCAUUCAUACUGAUAAAGAUAAUGGGAUUGUCACUAUUACGUAAGAUAAAAAGCUUUUGAUUUUGUGAUUUGGAUUUUUAUUUUAAAAUUCGGCUGGUAACUCGAUUUUUGUUUUAUGCAGCGAUACAGGCAUUGGUAUGACUAAGCAAGAAUUGAUUGAUUGUCUUGGAACUAUUGCUCAAAGUGGAACUGCAAAGUUUUUGAAAGCUUUAAAGGUUCUGCCUCUUCAAAAUGAUGCUUCGGGAUUAUAUUGUCUUCAUUUCAUUUUUCAGCUAUGUAUUUAUGUGCUGACAAGGUGUAUCAUUUAAUAGGAUAGCAAAGAUGCUGGUGGUGACAACAACUUAAUUGGUCAAUUUGGUGUAGGAUUUUAUUCUGCUUUUCUGGUUGCUGAUCGGGUAUGCAUUUGUGUUCUAGUAAAAAGUUGAUCUAUAUAUAUUUUUAUUUUAAAUAUGGUAGUUAUAUCUUUUCUUUGUUGCUUGAAGGUGGUUGUCUCAACAAAGAGUCCAAAAUCUGAUAAACAAUAUGUUUGGGAAGGAGAGGCAAAUGCUAGUUCAUAUAUCAUAUCUGAGGAAACCGAUCCUGAGAAGCUGGUUCCUAGAGGAACUCGCCUUACACUAUAUCUUAAGGUAUGUUGAUAAUCUCCAUGUUUGGUCUUCAAUUCAUUUAGUUUCUUCAUUCAGAAGCUUACAAAUGCGUGUGCAUUUUACCCACUGCUAACUUCCAGAGGGACGACAAAGGGUUUGCGCAUCCAGAGCGGAUUCAAAAGCUUGUGAAAAACUACUCACAAUUUGUCUCAUUCCCGAUAUACACUUGGCAGGAAAAGGGAUUCACCAAAGAAGUAUGGCUAAUGAUUCAGAUGUUUUCAUUUUUAUGAUGCUAUAUUUGUAUUGUUCGCUCGAAGUUAUUUAACAACCCUCCCCCCCCCCCCCCCAAAUCCUAUGGAAAUUAAUUUGGGAUCUUUCCAGGUGGAGGUUGAUGAGGAUCCGGCUGAAGCCAAAACGGAUGAACAAGAUGAGAAGACUGAGGUAGCGUUCUGAUUGUUCUGCAUAUAUAUACACUGUAUUGAGUAUUGAUGAGUGUGAAUGUGUGAUUGUUUAGCUACCACUUUUACUUACAUAUUAAUGAGUUUGACAUGUGUUUGUUACAGAAGAAGAAGAAAACUAAAACUGUUGUGGAGAAGUAUUGGGAUUGGGAGCUCACAAAUGAGACCCAACCUAUUUGGGUGAGUUUUAUGAUUUCCUAUUUCAUGGUUUGUCCUGAACUCAGAAUUUUAUUUAUUGAAUGAAGAUUUAGACAUUACUCUAUCUGCACAGCUUCGUAAUCCUAAAGAAGUCACUAAGGAGGAGUACAAUGAGUUUUACAAGAAUACUUUCAAUGAAUACCUGGAGCCAUUGGCAUCAUCACACUUUACCACAGAGGUAACAUUUUUUAUUGUCUCAAAAUGCUUCUUGUUCUGUUGCAUGUUGUUGGAUGUUGAUAUUUACUGUUUGCUACUAGACAAAUAGUUUGAUAGCCUCAAAUUUCCGCUCAAGACCUAAUUUGAUCGCUAAUGUUUUGGUUUUGGUAUUGCAGGGUGAGGUAGAAUUUAGGUCUGUACUUUAUGUUCCUGCCUUCGCUCCUUCAGGGAAGGAUGAUAUAAUCAAUCCCAAGACCAAAAAUAUCAGACUUUAUGUGAAAAGAGUUUUCAUUUCAGAUGACUUUGAUGGAGAACUGGUAUAAGCACUUUGCUCUUUUGAUCUUGAGUAUUUGGAUGGUGUUCUCACAGUUUAUCCUGUGCUAAUGUAUUAUUUGUGUGAACAGUUCCCCAGAUACUUAAGUUUCGUUAAAGGUGUGGUUGACUCAAAUGACCUUCCACUCAACGUGUCACGUGAAAUACUUCAAGAGAGCCGCAUAGUAAGUAGAUAGGGCACACAUCCACUUAAUUUUAUACCUGGAAUUUUCUUUGGUGAUACAUGUAUAAAAUUCCUUCCGAGUUUCAACUUGAUAAAAAAAAUUCUAUGUGGUGCUUGAAGGUGCGGAUUAUGAGGAAACGCUUGGUUAGAAAGGCUUUUGACACGAUUCUGGGGAUAUCCAUGAGUGAGAACAGAGAGGUAAGUUCUAAUUCAGAUAAAUUGUAGUUGUACAGUUUGCUUUUUUGAUUUUGUUAAGUUAGAAGGGACUGGAUAAAUUAUUGUGGCUUAAUCUUUGAUAGUUUAACAUAUAUACCUCUUGCUCAGUUGUUUUAUGUAUCUUUUAUAACUGCUUUUAUAGAAAGAACUGCAUGUUUCAUGAUAGCAUUUACCAGCUGCCUUCAUCUGUUUGCAGGACUAUGAGAAAUUCUGGGAUAACUUUGGCAAACACUUAAAAUUGGGUUGCAUUGAAGACCGUGAGAAUCACAAACGACUUGCUCCAUUGCUUCGGUUUUUCUCGAACCAAAGUGAGGAAGACCUGAUCAGCUUGGAUGAAUAUGUUGAUUGCAUGCAACCUGAUCAAAAGGAUAUUUAUUACAUUGCUGCUGACAGCGUGUCUAGUGCUAAGAACACACCUUUCUUGGAGAAACUUGCGGAGAAAAAACUUGAAGUAUAAGCUUAUCUUUAUUAAUGAUUACAACUUUAUCUAUUGACUAAUUUAUUUUUGUUAAUUUAUAUAUGUUGGUGCUUUUUAAUGUAAUUUUCAGGUCUUGUUUUUGGUGGAUCCAAUAGACGAGGUUGCCAUUCAAAACCUUAAAUCAUACAAGGAAAAGAAUUUUGUUGACAUUAGCAAGGAAGACUU